UUUGUAACUUGCCUAAUGGUAGAGGCCAUUCAAGAUAAUCGAGGUAAAGGUGCCAAUCUAGGUCAAGUAGCGAAAAGUGGAGUAACGAGGAAGCUUAAAUUUCAUGGAUGCUUCAUUGGUAAUCGAAUUUGACAAAGCUUAUCAAGCAGAUUUAGAUUCAUUCUUGUCAAAGUUGGAGCAAAACCACUAGGUUAUAUGAAAAUAAGAUGUAAAGCUAGAGAGGAUGAAUGGUGGACAGGUUCCUUAAACGCCAUCUUUUGAUUCGACACCUCUACUUUGGCUUUCUCAAACAAUUGCCGCUAUUGGACAAGUGAAAAGAGGAGAUGAUGGUGGUCGAGUAUUUUUAAUAGUGUAAUGUGUGUAUUUAUAUAUAUAUAUAUAUUAGUUUAUUAUAUUAUUUAUUUAUAUUUCAUGUAUGAUUUAACUAGUAUAAAAAUACAAAUAAAUAAAUUUUAUGUCAAAAUUAUGUGUUUAUAUACAUGUAAGUUAUUGGCUAGCAUUGAGGACUCA
rnacentral:lncRNA from 1 species